rnacentral:rRNA from 1 species
AGUUCGAUCAUGGCUCAGAUUGAACGCUGGCGGGAUGCUUUACAUGCAAGUCGAACGCGUUAAUGGACUUCGGUCUGGUGGCGAGUGGCGAACGGGUGAGUAAUGUAUCGGAAACGUGCCUAGUAGCGGGGGAUAACUACGCGAAAGCGUAGCUAAUACCGCAUACGCCCUUCGGGGGAAAGCGGGGACCUUCGGGCCUCGCACUAUUAGAGCGGCCGAUAUCGGAUUAGCUAGUUGGUGGUGUAUCGGCUCACCGAAGGCGACGAUCCGUAGCUGGUUUGAGAGGACGACCAGCCACUGGGACCGAGACACGGCCCGUGACUCCCACGGGAGGCAGCAGUGGGGAAUUUUGGACAAUGGGGAAACCCCGAUCCAGCCAUCUCCGCGUGCGAUGAAGGCCUUCGGGUUGUAAAAGCACUUUUGGCAGAGAAGAAACGCACUGUGAUACACCCUGUGCAACUGACGGUACCUGCAGAAUAAGCACCGGUUAACCACGUGCCAGCAGCCGCGGUAAUACGUAGGGUGCAAGCGUUAAUCGGAAUUACUGGGCGUAAAAGCGUGCGCAGGCGGUUCGGAAGAAAGAUGUGAAAUCCCAGAGCUUAACUUUGGAACUGCAUUUUUAACUACCUGAGCCAGAGUGUCAGAGGGAGGUGGAAUUCCGCGCAGCAGCAAUGGCAGCGGCAGAUGCAGUGGAGGAACACCGAUGGCGAAGGCAGCCUCCUGGGAUAACACUGACGCUCAUGCACGAAAGCGUGGGGAGCUGAAACAGAUUGAUACCUGGUAGUCCACGCCCUAAACGAUGUCAACUAGCUGUUGGGGCCUUCGGGCCUUGGUAGCGCAGCUAACGCGUGAAGUUGACCGCCUGGGGACGCAUGGUCGCAAGAUCAAAACCUGCGAAUUGAUUGGGACCCGCACAAGCGGUGGAUGAUGUGGAUUAAUUCGAUGCAAACGCGAAACCUUACCUGCUCCUCGACAUGGUCAGAAUCCGAAGAGAUUUGGGAGUAAGCCUCUGCAAGAGAACCGGAACACAGGUGCUGCAUGGCUGUCGUCAGCUCGUGUCGUGAGAUGUUGGGUUAAGUCCUCGGCAACGAGCGCAACCCUUGUCAUUAGUUGGUUACCGAAAGGGCACUCUAUCGAAAGGACUGCUAGCACAAACCGAGGAAGGUGGGGAUGACGUCAAGUCCUCAUGGCCCUUAUGGUAGGGCUUCACACGUCAUACAAUGGUCGGGACAGAGGGUCGCCAACCCGGCGAGGGGGAGCCAAUCCCAGAAACCCGAUCGUAGUCCGGAUCGCAGUCUGCAACUCGACUGCGUGAAGUCGGAAUCGCUAGUAAUCGCGGAUCAGCAUGUCGCGGUGAAUACGUUCCUGGUCUUGUACACACCGCCCGUCACACCAUGGGAGUGGGUUUUACCAGAAGUAGUUAGCCUAACCGUAAGGAGGAAGACACCACGGUAGAUUCAUGACUGUUAUCGUGUUGCA